rnacentral:rRNA from 1 species
AAACUGGGAUUAGAUACCCCACUAUGCCUAGCCCUAAACAUUGAUAGAAUUUUACAACCUCUAUCCGCCCGGGGACUACAAGCAUCAGCUUGAAACCCAAAGGACUUGGCGGUGCUUUAGAUCCACCUAGAGGAGCCUGUUCUAGAACCGAUAACCCCCGUUCAACCUCACCCCUCUUUGUUAAUACCGCCUAUAUACCACCGUCGUCAGCUUACCCUGUGAGGGACCAAUAGUAAGCUUAACUGGUACAACCCUAAACGUCAGGUCGAGGUGUAGCGUAUGGAGGGGGAAGAAAUGGGCUACAUUCGCUACAACAGCGAACACGAAUGAUGUCCUGAAACGUACAUCUGAAGGAGGAUUUAGCAGUAAGUAGAAAAUAGAGUGUUCUACUGAAAUUGGCCCUGAAGCGCGCACACACCGCC